UACGUAGGGUGCAAGCGUUGUCCGGAAUUAUUGGGCGUAAAGAGCUCGUAGGCGGUUUGUCGCGUCGAAUGUGAAAACCCGGGGCUCAACUCCGGGCCUGCAUUCGAUACGGGCAGACUAGAGUUCGGUAGGGGAGUCUGGAAUUCCUGGUGUAGCGGUGAAAUGCGCAGAUAUCAGGAGGAACACCGGUGGCGAAGGCGGGACUCUGGGCCGAUACUGACGCUGAGGCGCGAAAGCCAGGGGAGCGAACGGG
rnacentral:rRNA from 1 species